rnacentral:rRNA from 1 species
GAUGAACGCUGGCGGCGUGCCUAAUACAUGCAAGUCGAGCGAACGGACGAGAAGCUUGCUUCUCUGAUGUUAGCGGCGGACGGGUGAGUAACACGUGGAUAACCUACCUAUAAGACUGGGAUAACUUCGGGAAACCGGAGCUAAUACCGGAUAAUAUUUUGAACCGCAUGGUUCAAAAGUAAAAGACGGUCUUGCUGUCACUUAUAGAUGGAUCCGCGCUGCAUUAGCUAGUUGGUAAGGUAACGGCUUACCAAGGCAACGAUGCAUAGCCGACCUGAGAGGGUGAUCGGCCACACUGGAACUGAGACACGGUCCAGACUCCUACGGGAGGCAGCAGUAGGGAAUCUUCCGCAAUGGGCGAAAGCCUGACGGAGCAACGCCGCGUGAGUGAUGAAGGUCUUCGGAUCGUAAAACUCCGUUAUUAGGGAAGAACAUAUGUGUAAGUAACUGUGCACAUCUUGACGGUACCUAAUCAGAAAGCCACGGCUAACUACGUG